UUUGUGUUGUUGUUGUUGUUUUAAUAAUUCCAAAUAGGAGUUCAUAGCCCUAGGAAAUGUCCCUUAAAGUAAUCGUGAAAACUUGCAGGAAGGAGUCCGUGGAAUGUAGCUGGUAGGAAGGAAAUGCAUUUCAUGGGAAGCCUUGUUCUUUUUUUUUUUUUUUAAGAUUUUAUUUAUUUAUUUGAGAGAGAGAAUGAGAGACAGAGAGCAUGAGAAGGAGGAAGGUCAGAGGGAGAAGCAGACUCCUCGCCGAGCAGGGAGCCCGAUGCGGGACUCGAUCCAGGGACUCCAGGAUCAUGACCUGAGCUGAAGGCAAGAUGCUUAACCGACUGAGCCACCCAGGCGCCCCGGAAGCCUUGUUCUUAAGCUUUGCAAGAUACACCUGCCCUCAACAGCUGCCUGCUCAGAAGUUAAACACAGCAGUGAACCAAGCACAGAAGCAGCGUGGGCGCCUUCUUCCUGCUGUCUCAAGGGGGCUGCUGCGUUGGGGUGCCCUGCAACCACGCCUGGGUCUGGACGCUCCCUGGGAGGACUCCUGGACUCAGCGGAUAGCUGUCCUCGGGGCUGAGAGGCAUCACUGCGGAAGGACACAGAGCAGAACCCGCAGGCAGGGGCACGUGGGGGGACGUCCAGGGCUUCCGAGGGUCCUCUCCGAGCGGAAUCAGUCCACGUCUGAUGCCCCCAGAAACGAGUUAUGACAACACAUGGGAAGGGUCAGCUACCAGGAAAACUGAUUAGGACUCAGGGCCUGAGGUUUGUAAUUGGGGGCUGGUCCCGUAGGCACCCCUGCUUCGCGUGUGCCCCAAUUCCGGACUCCCAGAAGGAAAACGGGUUCAGUACACACCCCACUGUUUGCACAGUUUAGGCACAGGACACCAUUAUUGUCCGUUAGGCAGUGGUGGGAAACCUCUGGAUGUCCAAGUUCCCAGUCUCGGGCCAAGGACCAGCCUUGCCCGUGGGCACUCCUACGGAGAGCAGCGUCAGGCCUGUGGGGGUCCGUCUGCCCCACAGACAUGUGUAGCCACCGCUGUGGACCUCACCCUGUCCCUUUGUGUGUUGGGGUCCUAGCAGGUUACAUGGGGCAGCCAGGGUUCUAGAGAGUUCCAGUUACCCAGAAUCCCACCUGCCACUUCACGCUCUGUGUAGCUCAGUCUUGUUGUUAGAUGUGGCCUCUUAAGGACAGACGACCACCUCCCAGAAGGAAUGGACUGGGAUAAAGAUUGGCUCAGACCUGACAGAAGGGAGUGGAUGCUCCCUCCCUCAACAGGAAAUGUCUCUUCCAUUUUGAGGGAAUCUAAACGUGUGGAGGGCGUGUUUACUAUUCUCUGAGGGCACCCUGACGGGGAGUUUGGGGUGCAUGGUGAUGGUCUGCAUCCACGCGCUGGCCCCAUGGGCUCCCCCUGGCAGCACAGCCGAUCUCCGUGCCCAGGGAGGGCCUCCGAGCAGGGGACAUGGGUCGUCCAGCGAGCCGACGCAGCCAAAGAUUCCGUGAGGCAGGACUGGGUUCCGAUGCCCGGACACCAGCUCCACACGGUCCUUCAGCUGUGCUUCCUCCUGAUCGGGGGGACCCUGGUGGUGUAGCUGGUACCCUGGUACUUUGCAAACAUAGCACAUCUCUCCCGUGUGUCCUUGUAGCUUGGGGUGGGGUCCACACCGGAUACACCCCUUGGGGUGCCGGUGAAUUUCGCUCCUAGUGUUGCUUUAAUCUGACACCACUGAUGAUGUGGAAGUGGGGGAACAUAUUCCAGAACGUAUGUUCUCACCGGGAAGUAGGUAGCGCUCCACACGCAGGUGGCUUGGACUUCCGACCUCUGUGGUGUGGGGCAGGGGAGGGUGUGUAGGUCACACGAUACGUACCGUUAGUGGAAACUACAUGUUCACGUGGUGGACAGCCGUUACCACGGUCUAGUUCCAGAACGUUUCCACCACCCCAAAAGGAAAUCCCUUCUCUUUAAGAAGUCCUGCUCCUUACAAGCCCAGCGUCUGGCAAGCCAGUCUACGUGGAUCUGAGCGUGUUGCCAGAUUACGACUCUGCUCCAGACAGCAUCGCGUGGCAAGUAGCAAGUGACUGGGUCCUUCCUGGUGGUCUCGCAUUGUUGGCAUAAAUGACCGAAGUGUCCCGACCUUUGUUGUCGGGGAUGAUACCAUAACGGAUUCGGAGCUCAAGAAGAGCAGGUGUGCUCACCCGUGUGGUUGGAGGGAAUAUCUGAAACAGAGCUCUGGAUUCUACUUUUCAGAGAAAAAAUAUGCCCACGAUAAACAUCAGUAAGAUUCCCAUGACACUUUUAUUUAUGGGGCGCCUGGGUGGUGCUGUUGGUGAAGCGUCCAACUCUAGAUUGUGGCUCAGGUCCUGAUCUCUCAGGGUCGUGAGAUCGAGUCCUGUGUCGGGCUCUGCAUUCAGUGCGGAGUCUGCCAGGGCAUUCCCUCUCUCCCUCGGCCUCCGCCGUCCCCCCAAAAAUAAUAAAUCUAAAAAAAAAAAAAAAUUCAUUUAUAAAGUUUUUCAGCAGAAUGUAAUAUUUCCCAAAGCAUUUCUAAGACUUCAUGGAAGGGCUCUCUGUCCCACUGGCCAAGAACACCACCCAUGUGUUUCUUACAUAUUCUCACCCAUAAUUCUCACCAUAAUGGUGUAUAGGUCCCCAUCGCUGGUUCAGUAAGAUCCAGGUGUCGUUUGCUCUAUUUUUUUUUUCUUUAGCGUGAAGGAGAGUACUAGAAACUGUUCAAGAUGGUAACUUGAAAGAAAAGGAAGUGUGCUCUUUUUCGGAGCAAAACACAGAUAGAGCUUAUAAGGAGGACCGUUUGUCAGCAUUCAGAAACUCCUCGAGUUGAUGGGUUGGUCUGAGAAAUUGCUUUGGCUCGUUAGGUUUUUCCCACGAACACCCGUUAGGGCCACGGUCUGUCACCAUCAGCAGGAAGCGUUUCCUCGGAGGCUGACCGUGGACUACCACUCAGCAAUAAGGAGCAUGUCGUCAACAGACUGUUGGUAACACGGAACAGCCUGAUAGAUCUCAAGGGGUCUCCAUCGGACCAGUCUCCAAAGGUCGCCUGCUGCAUGACUCCGUUACAUAUAACCUUGAGAUGAAGAACUGUUGGAACUGGAGAACGCAGCCGCAGAAUGCAACUACUGGGGGAGCCUGGAUCAACAGUAACAUUGCAAAAUUAAACUUAAAAACAAGACAAAAACACAAAGCCAGGCUGUGCCUGGAGUGCUGCUGACUGCUGAACCUCACUGGCCCACGUGUGGGCAGGGAGCGCAUGUGGACCCCGAAUCGCUACGCCCUGCCUCCCGUCGCUUACCCACACCGAAUGGUGAGAUCAUCCUGGGGGCUCCGGGGCUCCUGGUGGCAGGGGCCCACUCACAGGGGGUCAGCCACCCAAGUACAGAGGGUCCCCCUGUCUGGAUGGCGAGGGUCAGCGGAUGUUAAUUUUUACGACCAGGUGCUAGACACUGUCCCCGGAGCUGCCCCCCACAUGGUCCCGUUUGCAAGUGUACGGACCGCAUGC